rnacentral:rRNA from 1 species
AUUGAACGCUGGCGGCAGGCCUAACACAUGCAAGUCGAACGAGUGGCGGACGGGUGAGUAGUUUCUUGGAACCUGCCCGAUGGACGGGUAUAACUACUCGAACCGUUAGCUAAUACCGCAUACCAUCGGAUCGGCCCAAAUUGGAUUAGCUAGUAGGUGGGGUAACGGCUCACCAAGGCGACGAUCCCUAGCUGGUCUGAGAGGAUGACCAGCCACACUGGGACUGAGACACGGUCCAGACUCCUACGGGAGGCAGCAGUGGGGAAUAUUGGACAAUGGGCGAAAGCCUGAUCCAGCAAUGCCGCGUGUAUGAAGAAGGCCUUCGGGUUGUAAAGUACUUUCAGCAGGGAGGCGUUACCUGCAGAAGAAGCACCGGCUAACUACGUGCCAGCAGCCGCGGUAAUUC